rnacentral:rRNA from 1 species
UACGUAGGGGGCAAGCGUUGUCCGGAAUUAUUGGGCGUAAAGAGCGCGUAGGCGGUCCGAUAAGUCGGCUGUGAAAGUCGGGGGCUCAACCCUCGAAUGCCGGUGGAUACUGUCGGGCUCGAGUACGGAAGAGGCGAGUGGAAUUCCUGGUGUAGCGGUGAAAUGCGCAGAUAUCAGGAGGAACACCGAUUGCGAAGGCAGCUCGCUGGGACGUAACUGACGCUGAGACGCGAAAGCGUGGGGAGCAAACAGG